rnacentral:rRNA from 2 species
AGCAUAUCAAUAAGCGGAGGAAAAGAAACUAACAAGGAUUCCCCUAGUAACUGCGAGUGAAGCGGGAAAAGCUCAAAUUUAAAAUCUGGCGGUCUUUGACCGUCCGAGUUGUAGUCUGGAGAAGUGCUUUCCGCGCUGGACCGUGUACAAGUCUCUUGGAACAGAGCGUCAUAGAGGGUGAGAAUCCCGUCUUUGACACGGACUACCAGUGCUUUGUGAUGCGCUCUCAAAGAGUCGAGUUGUUUGGGAAUGCAGCUCAAAAUGGGUGGUAAAUUCCAUCUAAAGCUAAAUAUUGGCGAGAGACCGAUAGCGAACAAGUACCGUGAGGGAAAGAUGAAAAGCACUUUGGAAAGAGAGUUAAACAGUACGUGAAAUUGCUGAAAGGGAAACGCUUGAAGUCAGUCGCGUUGGCCAGGACUCAGCCUUGCUUUUGCUUGGUGCACUUUCUGGUUGACGGGCCAGCAUCGAUUUUGACCGCUGGAAAAAGGUUGGGGGAAUGUGGCACCUUCGGGUGUGUUAUAGCCCUCAGUCACAUACGGUGGUUGGGAUCGAGGACCGCAGCACGCCUUUAUGGCCGGGGUUCGCCCACGUUCGUGCUUAGGAUGCUGGCGUAAUGGCUUUAAACGACCCGUCUUGAAACACGGACCAAGGAGUCUAACAUGCCUGCGAGUGUUUGGGUGGAAAACCCGAGCGCGUAAUGAAAGUGAAAGUUGAGAUCCCUGUCGCGGGGAGCAUCGACGCCCGGACCUGAACUUCGGUGAUGGCUCUGCGGUAGAGCAUGUAUGUUGGGACCCGAAAGAUGGUGAACUAUGCCUGAAUAGGGUGAAGCCAGAGGAAACUCUGGUGGAGGCUCGUAGCGAUUCUGACGUGCAAAUCGAUCGUCAAAUUUGGGUAUAGGGGCGAAAGACUAAUCGAACCAUCUAGUAGCUGGUUCCU